UGCCUAACCCUCAUGCACGUAAAAUCGCAGAGGUAUGGCCGAAAAUCCUUUCCAGUAAAAAACUCCUCGUCAGAGUUCCUGGAAAGGUCAUACCUCGAAAGGGGUGUGUCGGGCCGAAAGGUUCGA
rnacentral:sRNA from 1 species